rnacentral:misc_RNA from 1 species
GAUGAAGAACGCAGCGAAAUGCGAUAAGUAAUGUGAAUUGCAGAAUUCAGUGAAUCAUCGAAUCUUUGAACGCAUCUUGCGCUCCUUGGUAUUCCGAGGAGCAUGCCUGUUUGAGUGUCAUUAAAUUCUCAACUACACUGAUUUUUUUUGGUUGGUGUAGAUUGGAUUUGGGGGUAUUUUUUGCGGGCUUUGUAAAAUGAAGUCGGCUCCCCUGAAAUUAAUUAGUGGUACCUUAGUAGAACUGUCUACAGGUGUGAUAAUUAUCUACAUCUUAGACAUCUGCUGGAAUGCUGCUUUCUAAACCUUACUUGUAUUGACAAUCUUGACCUCAAAUCAGGUAGGACUACCCGCUGAACUUAAGCAUAUCAAUAAGCGGAGGA